rnacentral:rRNA from 1 species
GACGAACGCUGGCGGCGUGCUUAACACAUGCAAGUCGAACGAUGAACCCGGAGCUUGCUCCGGCGGAUUAGUGGCGAACGGGUGAGUAACACGUGAGUAACCUGCCCUUGACUCUGGGAUAACUGCGGGAAACUGUAGCUAAUACCGGAUACGACCCUCGGCGGCAUCGCCAGGGGGUGGAAAGAAUUUCGGUCAAGGAUGGACUCGCGGCCUAUCAGCUAGUUGGUGCGGUAACGGCGCACCAAGGCGACGACGGGUAGCCAGCCUGAGAGGGUGAACGGCCACACUGGGACUGAGACACGGCCCAGACUCCUACGGGAGGAAGCAGUGGGGAAUAUUGCACAAUGGGCGCAAGCCUGAUGCAGCAACGCCGCGUGAGGGAUGACGGCCUUCGGGUUGUAAACCUCUUUUAGUAGGGAAGAAGCGAAAGUGACGGUACCUGCAGAAAAAGCACCGGCUAACUACGUGCCAGCCGCCGCAGUAA